UACACUCCUACGGGAGGCAGCAGUGGGGAAUAUUGGACAAUGGGCGCAAGCCUGAUCCAGCCAUGCCGCGUGAGUGAUGAAGGCCCUAGGGUUGUAAAGCUCUUUCACCGGUGAAGAUAAUGACGGUAACCGGAGAAGAAGCCCCGGCUAACUUCGUGCCAGCAGCCGCGGUAAUACGAAGGGGGCUAGCGUUGUUCGGAUUUACUGGGCGUAAAGCGCACGUAGGCGGACUAUUAAGUCAGGGGUGAAAUCCCGGGGCUCAACCCCGGAACUGCCUUUGAUACUGGUAGUCUUGAGUUCGAGAGAGGUGAGUGGAAUUCCGAGUGUAGAGGUGAAAUUCGUAGAUAUUCGGAGGAACACCAGUGGCGAAGGCGGCUCACUGGCUCGAUACUGACGCUGAGGUGCGAAAGCGUGGGGAGCAAACAGGAUUAGAUACCCCAGUAGUCCCAUGAU
rnacentral:rRNA from 1 species